rnacentral:misc_RNA from 1 species
UGCUGCUCUUUUUUUCCUGUAAAAGAAACCAACAUGCUAAACGUCAAUGCGAAAGCGUUCGUUCCUCCGGGGGUGAUUGAAGGGGCACCUCCGAGCUUCCAUACAAUUGGCUGGUACCGAUACCGACUGAGCGUUCCGGUUGAGAGAAAGAUGAGCGUUGUUCAAGAAGAUCGGUACUUGAACAGUAUUUCCUCACUUUUGUCACUUAAGUAUCUCUACGCCGAACGUGGUGGAUUGGAUGACGACUCACUGCAGUACUUUCUUAACGGGCAGUUUAUGGUGUCGAGCAAUAUCCCGUCAAAUGGCGACGAAGAGCAUGUUUCGUCGGGUUUUUUGCUUUCACGGUCUAUCUUGACGCUAUACACGGAACUCACCGCUGUCGCACAUUUAAAUGAUUCUCGCGGUCUUCUCGUGCACCUAGAUUUACCAACUGAAUUCAACGGCGACGUCGCCAUUUUUCUGGCAAACGCCUGGGAAGCAUUUUUUGCGGCCGUUUCGGAAAAUGCUAGCGUGUCAGCAAUCGGCUACAGUCGAUCGGUGGUUGGCAUGGGCGGAAUUCAGACGAACGGGACAUACCGGCACUAUUUUUUCGCAGCGUGCACUUCACCUGAAUCGCUAGAGGUGGUGGUUGGGGGCAUCAUGUCUGAGUCUCCUGUUUCCGUUGCGCGCAUUGUGCGCAUGAAAUCGGUGGUGCCGUACCUCUGCAGUCCUCAUUUGCAGCUAGGCGUCAUGAUCACUGUCGGUGAGGAGGCGAAGCUUAGUGCAAUAAAGGAUCGGCGAGCCGAUUUUUCACUGGAAAUGAAGUAUCGGGCAGACGAUUUUUUCGAGGCGUGGAAGGCGCUGCGCGACGUCGAGACGCAACUCUUGGAGAUACUCAACGGAGAUGUAAAGUGGGACCGAAUUCACGUUUUGCACCUGCACGUUGAUCCGGCAGCGAGCGAGAACCCAGUUACCAUUCCGCUUUGGGACAUAAUUUGGUAUAUUGGACUUUUGUGUGAUGAUUGUAGCGCUAGCGUCAUUGGAGUUUCAUUUUCCACCUCCUCUCUCGAUGCGGCGACGAGAGAAUUGCUGAGUCGCAACAAAAGCGCACCGUUUUAUGUGUGCAGCAAUCUUGACGCAAUGCUGGCCGCAGAUUUGUCACUUGACACAAACCACACAUAUUACGGGGGCGUUCCUUCGCAUGUGAAGAAAGUUCUGCCGUGCUGGGCUUGGGCAUCAGCCGCUAGCGCAAUGGAACUAUGGCAACGUGUUCAAAAACAUCUUUCUCCAGUUCAGAUGUUGACGCGCAUGUCAUUUGCGGACGCUGCAGACAGUUUUGCGCGAGGUACGUACACGGUUCACCGAAAAGCUGUGGGAACGCCUGUUGUUGUUGGAACAGAUGCAAAGGGCAACAUUUUCGGGUUCGACGUUGCCCAUCACAGCGUCUUUGGCCUUCCCCUCUGUUUUGGUGGAGCCGUAGAUCCGGUGAUUAAUUGUGUGUUCAAAGGCACGGUUUCCCCUUCGUAUCGAAGCAGCCUGGAUUAUCGCAUCAUCAUAGACGACGUUUUGCUUUUCAAAGGCAAGGAGACCAAAGGCAUCCCGUUUGCUGAACGCAUGCGCAUGCUGAACAGUGUUGGAAUUGAGGACGAAAGCACAUGGCCGCACGCCCAUCCUGCGCACAUUGUUAUUCUUAAAGCAGAAUGUCUUCCGUUAGAUUCCUCCAAGAAACUCGUCGAUACCCCAGUCUUCGAUCACAGCAAUAUGGGCCUCGUGUUUACACCAUCGAUACAGCUGGAUGACGAUUCGGUAUUUCCCACGUUCGUCUGGCUCCCUCCAACGUCCCUCACUGUGCGUUUUUCGGUCGAAAAAGUUGUGGUCGCAAACGAAAUGAACGAGGGUUUUGACCGCGCUUACCUUGGGGUCUCUUCCAACAGCGUCCACAACAGGAUAAUCAUCCCCUACGAAGGCGAAUUCGCAGAUUAUCAGAGGGAGGCGUACCCCACGCUGGCUGUGGGUUCAAUUGUAGAAUGUCUGCUUCGCCGUGCCGACGAUGGCGCUCACUGGUGGGAUGUUUUGCAGGACUUUGACGCCGCCGAAAACUGCGAGGCAGACUCAUUUGAUCACGUUGAUGAGCUUGUUCAUAGCCCUGGCGUGACGCAGGACGAGAUGCUGUGGCUUUUGAAGGCGCCUUCUUAUCAGUGCGAACGGUGCCACAAGGUGAACGACGUGGGGAGGCGGAAUAGUAGGCACAAUGCGUACUGGUGCAAGAACUGCUGGAUCGAGACGGGCCACGGCGAUUGCAUGUACUGCGGGCGUGCUUUUGCGCUGGGCAUGCUGGACGGCACCAGCAAUCUUUUCUACUGUGAAGAGUGCUGGAGGGCGUUUUCGACCUUCAACACGGACGCUGAAAUCGGCUAUCACGUGCCACCGCCGCCAAACGCGACUUUCACACAGCAGGUGACCACCCGAUGUGUAUCUCUCUUGAUCGAUCUGAUGAAUCCGAAGACGCCGUCGAACGAUGUUUUGGAUUUGUGUUGUGGCGGGUCUGUUGUGCGUAAGUGGAUGCGCAAUAAGACCUUGCGCUAUGUGGGCAUCGAUCUGAAGCGCAGCGUGGUUGAUGCGACAACGAGCGUCAUUUCCAGCUCGAAGGAAAUGCCAACUGAGGCACGCUACGACGUCAUCUGCGGCGAUGUGUUUUCCGACGACUUUUGGAUGAGCACCAUUGUGAAAAUCCACCCCCGACAGUUUCAUGUCAUCAACUGUUUCGCUGGGCUUCACCACGCGUUUUGCAGCGAGGAAAAGGCGCGUCAUUUUUUGGGCAGCAUCGCAAACGCCCUGGUUCCUGGUGGUACCUUUCUCGGUAUGUUUAUCGACGCUAGCGUUCUUUUUGCGAAGGGAAAGAAGUACGCAAAUAGCAUCAUGAAGGCGGGAUGGUCCGUCGACUCUGUUCCUCGCAUCGGUCACACUUUCCAGUUCACCACCAACAACGGACCAAUGCGUGACGUGAACGUCAUUCCCAUUGAUUUCUUGAUAGCGGUGGCCUCGGAGUAUGGGCUUCAUGCAGUUUCCGAGGCUUACUUGACGUUUCGCGAGCUGAUUGAGAAGGAUCCCAGCUGGACCAAGGUUCCUUCCGCGGAUGAGAAGGAGUACCUGUGCGCGCGGCGAACAUUUGCAUUCAAGAAAGAGAGCAACGAGCUGGCACCGUUCUCGCCUGCACGCAAAUCAGAUACUGCUUGAAGUGCUGAACGCCAUCCGCUGGGGGAGGUUGCUGCUUUGGCUUUUUCUUUUUGCUUUGCUCGUUCGCCGCUGAUGAUCAAAGCGCAGCGGCGGGGGCCCAGUUACGCAAGACGGCUUGUUUUGCUUUCUUGGUCCUUCUCUCCAGCACACAUACCACUGAGCCCUAUGACUUACGGUAGCUUUUUUCUUCUUUUUCAGCUCUCCACCUUUUUUUUUGUGUGACUGGUUCUCUCUUCUUUUGUUCUCGUUACGGAAGUCUGUGAGGUACGCUCUGAUUGAUAAUUGUUUUUCUUUAAUCUGGAGUGAGGACUCAAGAAGGCUUACUUAAGAGUUACUUGAAAAGAGGAGCAAGCACGCAGAUUCGCUGAAUUUUGCGGCCGCACGCUCUUAAUUAUCAAAUGGAUACUAAACACUGGCACGCAUUGUUCAACUCUCUCCGCCGUGUUGUGCCGUGCGUCCUCACUAUUCACACCAUCAUCACCGUUUUUCCUUGUUUAUUAAAACCUACAAGAUUAAGUAACCCUUUUCUAG